UACGAAGGGGGGUAGAGGUGUUCGGAAUUACUGGGCGUAAAGUGCGAGUAGGCGGCCCUGUCAGUCAGAAGUGAAAGCCCCGGGCUCAACCUGGGAAUUGCUUUUGAUACUGCAAGGCUAGAGUUUCGGAGAGGAUGGUGGAAUUCCCAGUGUAGAGGUGAAAUUCGUAGAUACUGGGAAGAACACCGGUGGCGAAGGCGGCCAUCUUGACGAACACUGACGAUGAUUCGCCAAAGCCUGUGGAGCAAACAGG
rnacentral:rRNA from 1 species